rnacentral:lncRNA from 1 species
GGGCCACCAUAAGAUAUCCUUUCCUUCAAUCUCUAUGACGAUUUGGGCAUGCAGGGCAGAGAGAGGGGUGUAGUCAUUGAAGCAACAUGGAGAGCUCUUCACCUUCCUCUAUUUUUGGGGGCAACUUUCUUUUAAGGCUCCAUGAUUAUCUUCAUGGGGCCUCUUGCUAUCGCUGUUCUUUCUCCCUUCAUGCCAAAGUACCUCUUCCUCUUCGAUCUGCAUAUAUUUUCAUGCCUGG